CCUACGGGUGGCAGCAGUGAGGAAUAUUGGUCAAUGGACGAGAGUCUGAACCAGCCAAGUAGCGUGAAGGAUGACUGCCCUAUGGGUUGUAAACUUCUUUUAUAUGGGAAUAAAACGUUCCACGUGUGGGAUUUUGUAUGUACCAUAUGAAUAAGGAUCGGCUAACUCCGUGCCAGCAGCCGCGGUAAUACGGAGGAUCCGAGCGUUAUCCGGAUUUAUUGGGUUUAAAGGGAGCGUAGGUGGAUUGUUAAGUCAGUUGUGAAAGUUUGCGGCUCAACCGUAAAAUUGCAGUUGAAACUGGCAGUCUUGAGUACAGUAGAGGUGGGCGGAAUUUGUGGUGUAGCGGUGAAAUGCUUAGAUAUCACGAAGAACUCCGAUUGCGAAGGCAGUUCACUGGACUGCAACUGACACUGAGGCUCGAAAGUGUGGGUAUCAAACAGGAUUAGAUACCCUAGUAGUC
rnacentral:rRNA from 1 species